rnacentral:rRNA from 1 species
CUGCAAGCUAAAUUUUCUAACCGUGCACAAACCUGUACUUGGUUGUUUGAAAUGAGGUUGUGAUGAGCAAUUUCAUUUCCCGCUUGUGUGAAAUCUAAUAGUGUGAGACGACAACCAAAAGAUUUCUUUCAAUUUUAUAAUUAGUCUGAACAAAAAACAAAUAAAAAAGUAAAAACUAUGAACAACGGAUCUCUAGGCUCUUGCAUCGAUGAAGAACGCAGCGAAAUGCGAUACGUAGUGUGAAUUGCAGAAUUCCGUGAAUCAUCGAAUCUUUGAACGCAACUUGCACUCUGUUUCGGCAGAGUAUACCUGUUUGAGAAUCUAUAGUAUUCUUCUAAUCUUUUUGAUUAGAGACUUGAAUCAUGUAACUUACUGGUUUUAAUUUUAUCUAUAGUAGUUUGUUAGAAAACUGCAAGUGUAUGAAGGGCUUGCCCACUUCCUUGUUGUAUCUAAUGAGUUUUCUCAAUUUGAACCUUGGUCUCAAAUCAGGUAGGAAGACCCGCUGAACUUAAGCAUAUCAAUAAGCGGAGGAA